CCGCCGUGAGGGACCGUUUGCGCCGCUCGAACUGCUCCUCACCGCGGUGCUGGAUGCUGCUGUUAAACUCUCCUGUUUGCUGUUUCUCUCGUGGUUUAUUUGUACUUUAAAAGUAGUCAGGAUGCGUUUUUUUCCCCGCCUUCUGACGCGUGGGAAGCAAAGCCGAUGGUUCGUGUCUAACAGCUGAAGGAGAACAGCCGCGCGAGCUGCGGGUCAAACUGCGUCCAACAGCAAAAGGGACCAUUCGGAGUCUGAAUGAAACCAGAAAUUCCAUAUUUCAAAGGUGAUGAGAAAGAAAAACCUCCUGGAAGCUAACUGUUGGAUAUGGGAUGAUGAGGACCAAGAUAAUUGAAUCAACAGAAAAAGUGAAGUUAUCAUCUGGAAAGGCAAGAGCUGAGCUGGUGUAGCAACAGAUGACCCUUGUAAAGCCUCCAGGGUUCACACAGGGAGCUCUGUAACUCCCUCAGGCAGGAGGAGCACAGUCCCAGUGCGAGGCUGCAGAUGCACAGAGCCUAAGCCUAUGGAUAUCGAGGAGCCAUUUAGUCACAUCCAGGCUAAAUUCACACAUCGUUCCAGACUGAGGCUUUUCCUGUGAUCUUCAACUAAAAAGUUUCACUUAGUCUGUGAAAUGACUCCAGGGUUUUUUUUUACAUAUAUGCUACCAGGACAGAUGGUUAAACCUACGGAGUGUGGAAGGCAGCUCAUACUUGCAGCAGUCAUAGUCCAGAAAUGAAGGACACAAUUUUCUGAAUGCCUGGGGCAGUUCUUGGCUAUCCAAGAGUUUUGCCUUUUUCUAAUAAGGAAUUACUUAAUCUGUUACACAAAUUGGUAACUAUAUUGACCAUGCAAGGUCUGCAAUUCUUUUUACAGUUUAGCUUUUAAUUGAAAAAGAUAUCAAGCAUGCAAUAAUAGCAGAAGGCAUUCACUUACCCUAUGACAAUGCAGGAGAUGGCAGUUCCCAAGAAGGCGUAGGUUAAAAUCGAUCCUAAGUUACGAAAAAAAUGUCUCUGGAGAGAAAAAUUUGAAAAAAAGUCCUUUGU